rnacentral:lncRNA from 1 species
UAAAGCCCAAAACCUGGUUACAUUUUAACCCAAUAAGCCUACACCCGGUUAUACCUAAACCCACUGGCCCGUUACACCCUUGACCCAAUUCAGUGUAGCCCAACUGGCCUAAAAAACCACUAACCCUAUACGCGUUACACCCUUAACCCAAAAAAUGAACGGGGCCCAAGAGGCCCAAACUGUUAGCAGAGGAUGGAAGACCUAGGGUUUCUGAAACCCUAGGCGCCACAAACGCUAAAGGAAGGUUCCAGAAUUCGCGCCGCAAGCAUGCCAAUCGUCACAGCCUUUUUGCGUCGUUCCAGUGACCUUCAUCGACGCCACCAUCGACAUCGUGACUCCGGCGCUAUAUCACGCCGUAAUCGGCGCACGAAUCAACGCCAGCGCAUUCACCACCGGAUUCUUCGCUGGUACCUGCAAAAAAAGGAAAGAAGAAACAGCAAAGACCAAUGCAAAUAUGGCAGGAAAUAAAAUCAAAGAUUGUAAAAAUAUUUUUCUUUUUCUUUUUCAGUGGCUAUAAAAGCCCGAAUCAAAAGGAUGUAAACUACGGUUUUUUUAUACACAUAGAUACAAUAAAAACACCAACAGUCGAUUGAAGAAACGAAGGUGAUUAUUUAUUUUUUCCUUUUUAUAAAUACAUACAUACAUAGAAAAAUAAAAGGGGAAAAAGUUUUACCGAUGGAUUUGCAUUGAAAACAAAGCUUUCCAACUUCCGGCCGCUGUAUGUGGCGGAGUUGAGGGCGGCACGUAGGCGCGUGGGAACCGGUGGACAGAGACUCAACAGAGCUCCGAGGACCAGCCCUCAAUCCUCUUUCAGAGGAUUUUUUGU